CCGAUUAUUCCGGGAUAGCCUUUCGAAAGAAAGAUUAAUACUGGAUAGCAUAACGAGAAGGCAUCUUCUUGUUAUUAAAGAAUUUCAAUAAUCGAUGGGGAUGCGUUCCAUUAGUUUGUUGGCGGGGUAACGGCCCACCAAGACAUCGAUGGAUAGGGGUUCUGAGAGGAAGGUCCCCCACAUUGGAACUGAGACACGGUCCAAACUCCUACGGGAGGCAGCAGUGAGGAAUAUUGGUCAAUGGACGAGAGUCUGAACCAGCCAAGUAGCGUGAAGGAUGACUGCCCUAUGGGUUGUAAACUUCUUUUAUAUGGGAAUAAAGUGAGCCACGUGUGGCUUUUUGUAUGUACCAUACGAAUAAGGAUCGGCUAACUCCGUGCCAGCAGCCGCGGUAAUACGGAGGAUCCGAGCGUUAUCCGGAUUUAUUGGGUUUAAAGGGAGCGUAGGCGGAUUAUUAAGUCAGUUGUGAAAGUUUGCGGCUCAACCGUAAAAUUGCAGUUGAUACUGGUAGUCUUGAGUGCAGCAGAGGUAGGCGGAAUUCGUGGUGUAGCGGUGAAAUGCUUAGAUAUCACGAAGAACUCCGAUUGCGAAGGCAGCUUACUGGACUGUAACUGACGCUGAUGCUCGAAAGUGUGGGUAUCAAACAGGAUUAGAUACCCUGGUAGUCCACACAGUAAACGAUGAAUACUCGCUGUUUGCGAUAUACAGCAAGCGGCC
rnacentral:rRNA from 1 species